AUUGAACGCUGGCGGCAGGCCUAACACAUGCAAGUCGAACGAGUGGCGGACGGGUGAGUAAUGUCUGGGAAACUGCCUGAUGGAGGGGGAUAACUACUGGAAACGGUAGCUAAUACCGCAUACCAUCGGAUGUGCCCAGAUGGGAUUGGUUUGUGGGUGGGGUAACGGCUCCCCAAGGCGACGAUCCCUAGCUGGGCUGAGAGGAUGACCAGCCAAACUGGAACUGAGACACGGUCCAUACUCCUACGUGAGGCAGCAGUGGGGAAUAGUGCACAAUGGGCGCAAGCCUGAUGCAGCCAUGCCGCGUGUAUGAAGAAGGCCUUCGGGUUGUAAAGUACUUUCAGCGGGGAGGCGUUACCCGCAGAAGAAGCACCGGCUAACUCCGUGCCAGCAGCCGCGGUAAUUC
rnacentral:rRNA from 1 species